GACGAACGCUGGCGGCGUGCUUAACACAUGCAAGUCGAACGCUGAAGCUCAGCUUUUGUUGGGUGGAUGAGUGGCGAACGGGUGAGUAACACGUGAGUAACCUGCCCCCUUCUUUGGGAUAACGCCCGGAAACGGGUGCUAAUACUGGAUAUUCACUGGUCUUCGCAUGGGGGUUGGUGGAAAGGGUUUUUCUGGUGGGGGAUGGGCUCGCGGCCUAUCAGCUUGUUGGUGGGGUGAUGGCCUACCAAGGCUUUGACGGGUAGCCGGCCUGAGAGGGUGACCGGUCACAUUGGGACUGAGAUACGGCCCAGACUCCUACGGGAGGCAGCAGUGGGGAAUAAUGCACAAUGGGCGCAAGCCUGAUGCAGCGACGCCGCGUGAGGGAUGGAGGCCUUCGGGCUGUGAACCUCUUUCGCUCAUGGUCAAGCCGCAACAAUGGUUGUGGUGAGGGUAGUGGGUAAAGAAGCGCCGGCUAACUACGUG
rnacentral:rRNA from 1 species